GACAGCACUGUGAGGAGUGCCGUCAAUCAGCUGAGUCAGCCGAGUGACACUGUGUAUCUUUUGUGACAGGGAAGCUGUGUGUCACAUUCACAAACAUUGAGUGUUUGGUCAUGAUAUUCGUGUGAUAUUCAUGACGUGAUAUUCAUUCCGUGAUAGGAAUGUUACUCACCUCAAGACAGUGGUAGGUUUUGUGUAUCUUGCGGAAGACAGUGCUGAGCCCCACGUAGCAUCAGUGCAACAUACAUUACAAACACCCAGUGACGUCUACUGGAGUGUCGUCAUGAAGCGGGUAAGUGUGGCGUCACCUGUGCUCACUGAGGUCAAGGUAAGGCACUGACCUACCAGUAUCAUUCUUGCCUGGCACUGUGUCUGCGCCGGAGGUAUUUCAUCACCUUCAUUCUCCUUGAUUAGAGCUGAACAGCUUUGGUCGUCCGCUAGUCCAUAGUAAUUGUAACUUGUCUCAAUUAACUAGCAAUAGUUGGUUUUAUUUGGAGCAAUACGGCGAUGGGUGAGGUCUGUAACGAGCAGCUCUGUACUGUACUCAUGGCCUGGCAGGCAGACAAAACAACACUCCUUUAAGUCAGGCCGCAGCAGUCAUUACCUCCUCCGGUCAGGGUCCAGAAAAGUUUGUAACGAGAGAUCACUGGAGGCUGAUAGGCGUUGGCAGAGCUAUUUAUGGUGCGUAGGGACUGGCUGACCUCCGAUACAAACCAAUGGGAAAUUAACCACGAUACCGUAGGUGUCAGAAUCAAUAUAUUCUUAGAUGAGGAGAGGAGAGAAGCUACUUAUUACAUGCCGUUGUACUACUCAGAGAGAGAGAGAGAGAGAGAGAGAGAGAGAGAGAGAGAGAGAGAGAGAGAGAGAGAGAGAGAGAGAGAGAGAGAGAGAGAGAGAUUGCCGAUGUGACGUGUGGGAGUUUGUAUUGAAU